CAGCGGCCAGAAUGAGUCUUUUAAAAUUUAAGUCAGAUCAGCUCCAAGCCUUCCAAUGGAAGAAACGGGGAGAGGAGUUUGGAGGCUGUUGCUGUCACGCAGCUCAGUGAUGACUGGAAUUUGACUGAGGUGCUGCUGCAGGAUGGCUCCUAAGAAAUAAUAUCAGCCAGCACCUGCUGCAAAGGGGCAUCCCAGGAUGUGUGACUGAAUCCUGUGGCAACACUGCGAGGUUGGCAUCAUUACCCCCACACCCUCCCCAACCGAGGAAAGAGCUGGAACCUGGGGAGAUGAAUGACUUGAUGUCCCACAGCCAACUGGCCUGCAGGCCCAGGACAACUCAGCCCUGUCCCUCGUUGCAUGGUGUUUGGUGGAUGACUUGGCAUGAAGCAUCAUAUCUACAAGAAAAACAAGUCAAAGGCUGAUGCCUCUGAUGGGGAAAUCACCACUCUCUCAGUGGGCAGCCACAGGAAAUGGGUACCUGUCUAUACUGGGGCCACAGGAUUAUGGGGCAAUAUCCCACAUGCCAGAGCAUAACAUAGAGGCUCAUUAAGGACAGAUAUUUGGGAGUGUAUAUUUAUCAAAAAUUCAGAUGGGUGAAUGGCCAUCACAAAUGGGAGAGAGAACUGUUAGCCAACGGGUGACUCAGGGGCUGAGUGUGCACCCCUGUUAUGAAAACUGAUUGUUAAAAAAAAAAAAAAAGUUGUUUGCACUCAUCACAGAUAUCAACAUUUGAAGGCACUGGCUGAUUCCAACUUAUGGCAUAAAUGACUAUUCAAUCGCAAUUGGAAUAGCUUAGACAAAUUAUCUGUGAUUAAAGCAGGCCAAUUUCUCAAAAUAAAAGUCCAACCUGGAGCACAAAUGAGCCUAAGCGCUUGGUCCUUGGAAUAGUGACUUUUCUCUCUUGCAAAGCUUGGUCUCUAACCAAAUAAGUAUUUACCUAUACAUUUAGAGUUCAGAUCAAUAGGAGGAAGAUGAAAUAGCCAAGACUGCUUUUGUUGCACAUGACAAUGACAUAACUCAUCUUGUUUAAGAAUGAAAGGAGGCCGGGUGCGGUGGCUCACGCCUGCAAUCUAAACACUUUGGGAGGCUGAGGCAGGCGGAUCAUGAGGUCAGGAGAUCGAGACCUUCCUGGCUAACAUGGUGAAACCCCAUCUCUACUAAAAAUACAAAAAAUUAGCCCGGCGAGGUGGCAGACGCCUGUAGUCCCAGCUACUCGGGAGGCUGAGGCAGGAGAAUGGCGUGAACCUGAGAGGCGGAGCUUGCAGUGAGCCGAGAUCAUGCCACUGCACUCCAGCCUGGGCAACAGAGCGAGACUCCAACUCAAAAAAAAAAAAAAAAGAAUGAAAGGGAACUUAGCACUUGUAACUGAAGCAUCCAAGUUUACUGCUGACUUCAGGCAUGCUGGAUCCAGGCGGCGAGAAGCGUUAUCAAGAAUGUGUCAUUCUCUAUUUCUUGGCUCUGCUUUCCUCUAUAUUGCCAUUACUUUCAAGUAGGCUGUCUCCAUGUGAAUGGCAAAGCAAUCAUCUGUAGCUUCAGGCCUAGAUGGUCCCCACAACUGGUGGCUCCAAAAGAAACCAAAAGAAACACACACACACACACACACACACACAUACACACACACACACACACACACACACACACCCCUUUUUCCCAAUAGCUCUCACGAAAGUCCCAGGCAAGAAUCUCUCUGGCUAUACUUGGAACACAUACCCAACCCAGAACCCAUUCUCCUUGUUGGCCAUUUUGUGCAUAUCCAGGUGAUCACCAUGACCAGCCAUGCUGCCAUAAGGAUUCUUUUCAAGUCUCUUUAGGCAUCCACAUAAGGGGUACUGUGGAGUAUAGAGAUGACUAUUUCUUUGAAUACUGUGAUAGAUGCAAUAGUAGACUUGCAUUCAAGGUACCAUAGUACAGUAUAAGAAAAAAUAUAUAUGCCUUUGUAAACUGUGCUUACUCGCUCAGGAGCAGGGGGACGCCCCCUUCUUAAGGGAAGAGCCGGCAUCACACGCCCUCCCAGCUCAAGCUUCCCCUGCGACCUGCACGUGUGUGAAUUGGCAGGCCCCACUAAUAUUGGUAUUUCCCUCUCAUUCCUACUAUUACCCCUGCCAAGCUUGGGAUGGCAGAGUUGGAGUCAUAUCCAUUCUAGGAGCCUAAAGAUGUGACUCCUCUGCAUUGAUGAGAGACACGGAAGAGGGAAAAGCAAGGAAAGACUUUAGUGAGCUCUGAAGUCCCACCUGCCACUCCACUAAAUGCCAGAAUCAUCUGGCCUCACUUAGUGGGUGGAGCAAAUUCCUGCCCCCCAGGGCCUCCCUCCUGAACCUGCAAGGUUGGUGGGAGAGGGAGACCCUCCCCAAAAGAGGAAGCCUGUUGUGUUGAGAGUGAUUUCAGAGACCUCAGCCAGGAAAGGUAAAUCAAAAUAACCCUUACACUCCGCCUCCUUCUUCCUUUAGAGGGGAAUGUUUCCUGGCACGGGUGCUGCAGCUUAAUAAAUUGCAUGCAGUAGAUUUCAGGCCUUGAGAAAAUCUUAACACUAGCUAAUAUGACCAGCACUAACAAAAUUUCUUGGAGCUUAUAAUAACAAAAAAAGCUCAUUGACGGAUUCCCACUUUUAUUCCUGCCCCCCUUUUCCACUUAGCCUUAAAUUUUUUUUAAUAAGAAAUUUUUAUUAACAAAAACAACAACAAAAAAAAAACAGAGUGAAGCACUUCACAAGAUCUUGCCCAGUUUAUUUUUUUAAUCUGUAAUAAUGAGCAUAACAGUUCAGCAAUGGAAUACUCACUCCAACAAAAUCUCCAGAUCUUUACAUCCUGAGUCUGCGAGGGCUGGACACAUGCCCUUGCUAAUUAUCAACCUUCUGAAACAGCUCAAGACAUGGGAUUAAAAACUGCUGUGGAAUUUGAACUCACGGACAUUCAUCUGAGUCAGCUACUCUGAACUCGCAUCUACUAUAAGGACCUGAGCAUUUCCUUCUCCCGUUUCCUCAGGACCUGCUCGGGGGUGUUCAGGGGAAGGUUGUCACAAACAUACUUGCAAUAAAAAUAAUCAAACAAAUGGAGAGCAUGUCUAUUUCCGGAAUUAGAUUCUUUUGAUAGUGAAGGAAUCAAAUGGGAUAAGGGGCAGGGAGAAGUCAGGUAAGUCCAAUAUUACUAUGUCCACAUGCUUAAAUUUCACUCCUCGGGGGCUUAUUGUCCCUAACAAUGGCCCUUUUAGCUAUGGAAUACGGGGAAUGACUAACCUUUUUCUAGCCUGUCAGUGAGAACUACCACUAUAUAUUGGUAAGUAUUUCCGUACAAAAUUCACUUGGAAAGGAUAUUGUUUCAAGCCUGGACAAAGCUCAUAUUGUCAUGUUCCAGUUCCAGUUAUUUUAGGCAAGGAAGGGGAAUUUCCACUGCUCCCUACAAUCAGUUUUGAGCACUUAGCUCUGAGUAAUAACUUCCUUGUAAUCUGUCAGAGCC
rnacentral:lncRNA from 1 species